rnacentral:ncRNA from 1 species
UCGCACUGUGGUGGAUUCGAGCUAAUACACGCACAAAAACUUCAACUGAAUUGGUUGAAGUGCUUUUAUUAGAACAAAAACCGAACGGCGUUUGACGAAUGUUGAACGUCGAAACUGUUUGGUGAAUCUGAAUAACUAUUUCUGAUCGCAUGGUCUAGCACCGGCGACAUCACUUUCAAGUGUCUGCCUUAUCAACCUUCGAUGGUAGUCUAUGCGACUACCAUGGUGAUAACGGGUAACGGAGAAUCAGGGUUCGACUCCGGAGAGGGAGCCUGAGAAACGGCUACCACAUCCAAGGAAGGCAGCAGGCGCGCAAAUUACCCACUCCCAGCUUGGGGAGGUAGUGACGAAAAAUAACGAGACGAUUCUCGUUUGAGAAACGUUAUCGAAAUGAGUACGCUUUACACACGCUAACGAGUAGCAAUUGGAGGGCAAGUCUGGUGCCAGCAGCCGCGGUAAUUCCAGCUCCAAUAGCGUAUAUUAAAGUUGCUGCGGUUAAAACGCUCGUAGUUGAAUUGUGGUCUUAGACAACAGUCCCCCUACAAAGGUGUGGCACGGUUGCUCGAGAUCUUCAUUCGUGGUUGCUGUUGUUGCUCUUCAUUGAGUGUCAAUGGUGCCUCGAGAUUUUACUUUGAAAAAAUUAGAGUGCUCAAAGCAGGUUGUGAUGCCUGAAUAAUGGUGCAUGGAAUAAUAGAAUACGAUCUCGGUUCUAUUUUGUUGGUUUUCGAACCGGAGAUAAUGAUUGAAAGGAACAGACGGGGGCAUUCGUAUUGCUGCGUUAGAGGUGAAAUUCUUGGAAUCGCAGCAGAAUGAACAAUUGCCGAAGGCAUU